rnacentral:rRNA from 1 species
UACAGAGGUCCCAAGCGUUGUUCGGAUUCACUGGGCGUAAAGGGUGCGUAGGCGGUCGGGUAAGUCUGAUGUGAAAUCUCACAGCUUAACUGUGAAACUGCAUUGGAUACUAUCCGGCUCGAGGAAUGGAGGGGAGACUGGAAUACUUGGUGUAGCAGUGAAAUGCGUAGAUAUCUGGAGGAACACCGGUGGCGAAGGCGGCAUCCUGGACCAAUUCUGACGCUGAGGAGCGAAAGCCAGGGGAGCAAACGGG